UUGGAGGCCGAGUCGGGUGGGAUUAACUCCCCUCGGCGUGAGCUUUCUUUUGGCGGCAGCGGCGACAAGAAUGGUGACCAGAGAUGGAAGUUCGCGGUGGAGAGAGAAAGUAGGUGGCAACCGCAUUUUUUGGCGAGCUCCGAUGAGGGAUGGACGAUCGAAGGACAUAUCCGUACUCCUCUCAGCUCAAGCUUCGCAAUGGCACCGGUUUCGUGGCGAUCGGACUCCGUUUGAAAAUCGAUGGCCGAGAUCGUCUGUAAAUCUCUCCAAACGAUUAGGGGUCGGAUCGGAAGAUCAGAAGUAAAGAUCAUCGUUUCGAGUCCGUUGGUGUGUUCGGAUCUUCGAUCGGGCUCCAGCAGCUGGAAGCGACUUGAUCGAGCGAUCAAGCGUCUCGAUCUGUGAUUGUUAGUCUUCCCGCGGCUUUUAUCUAGCAACCCGACUCCUUCAUCAUCGGGUGAUAUAAUUGGUUUGGUAUGUUAACUUGUAAAAUCUUAAAUUCUCCGCAGUAAAAUUAAUAGACUUAUCUGUUGAAAUUCUAUGUAGUUUCAGGUCUCAGCUAAUUCUUUUGGCAGACCAAACUAAAUAUGUAAAAUUUAACGGUUAAAAUAAAUUGUGGCAUCAAUACUUUUAGAUGA